rnacentral:rRNA from 1 species
UACGUAGGCAGCAAGCGUUGUUCGGAUUUACUGGGCGUAAAGGGUGCGUAGGCGGCUUUUUAAGUCUGGUGUGAAAUCUCCCGGCUCAACUGGGAGGGUGCGCCGGAUACUGAGGGGCUAGAGUGUGGGAGAGGAAAGUGGAAUUCCUGGUGUAGCGGUGAAAUGCGUAGAUAUCAGGAGGAACACCGGUGGUGUAAACGGCUUUCUGGACCAUAACUGACGCUGAGGCACGAAAGCGUGGGUAGCAAACAGG